GCACCACAAGAACGCGUGGAGCAUGUGGCUUAAUUUGACUCAACGCGGGAAAUCUUACCGGGUCCGGACACACUGAGGAUUGACAGGCAAUAUCUUGGCUGUUUAAUAACCGUUUAUUAAUAAACGGUUUAUUAAACAGAUCGAGUGUUAAAUAUGCUAGUCCUUUCAUGAUUAUGUGAUAGGUGGUGCAUGGCCGUUCUUAGUUCGUGGAGUGAUCUGUCUGCUUAAUUGCGUUUCACUAAGGGCCCAUAAAUUCAAGGUAUGUUAGCAAUCGUCGCUCUAUGGACCCCUUAUUUCAGUUUAUUAAUAAACUGUUAUAAGCGCGCGUCUUGUUUAAAGAGUUUAAGACACUGCGCAUGCUGUUGGGCUCUGAAAGCAACGAACGUGACCGCAACGUCUUGUUGCCUUAAUCAAGUCGGCUGUUUAAUAAUCUGUUUAAUUAAACAGACAGACAGCAGUCAUUAUAUGGCUUAUCCGAGGCUAUUUAAAACUAGACGAACCGCUGUUUCUUUUCUUAAACCAGAGGAAGGUUGCGGCAAUAACAGGUCUGUGAUG
rnacentral:rRNA from 1 species